rnacentral:lncRNA from 1 species
GUUCUUGAUUCAGAUUUUCUUGUGCCAAUGAAAGGUAAACCUUCCCCUUCUUCUACAUUAAUAUGUUGCGGUAGUUCUGUUGGACUGUAAUUAUUUAUCUUGCUAUUAGCAUGUUUCUGAAUAUUUAUUUGUUCCUUUAUUCUCAAAGUUGGUAGCCUACAUAAUUUUUUAGUCAAAUAGGUAUGACUUCAAUAAUUUUCUAUACUAGGUUCUUUUGUGUAUUAGACAUAUUAUAAAUUGGAAUGAUUAUCUAAAAUAGAAUUGCCGGCAUUUGAAGUUAGUUUUCAGUAUUGUUACUUUUCCCUUCCAAGUUCAUUUGUAUUAGUUUAGAUUUGUUUCCUUUAUAUGGAAUUUUACCGGAGGAUAACAUUCAUGCAAUAACUUUAUUGCUUUUUCACCACCUCUAUUUUAUUUUUAGGUAUAAUCUUCUGUCUCAUUGUCUUCUUUCUAUAUUUCUGGACAAUAUUUUUGCAGCGCUCCUGCACAGCAUUUCGGCACACUGUUUCUGCAGAAUAAUUAUGAACAAACAAAAGUAUUCUUGUACAAGCUUUUAGAAGAAAAAUAUUUGUUUUAAUACUUACAAAAUUAUGAUUGUCCUAAACUUCAAACUAUUUGUGUUAAUUUUUUUUUUUUUUUUGCACAAGUACCAUCUUGGUUCUUUGAUCAAUGUUCUCUAACGUUGUUGGACUGCAUUCUAUAUUUUGAUUUUAGGUUGUUGGUUCUGCAUUCACAUGAAGAAGAGAUGCACAUGGACAAAAGUAAUUUGAGAGUGUUGAGUAGAUAAAUAUACUCUACAAGGUUAGUUAAGCAAUAUCUGAUAUGCUUCUAACCAAGCAUGCAAUUGUCUAAAAGGUGUUAAUUUAGGUUUCAAGUCAGUAGAAUUCUGAAAUAUGUACUAUUAUGGAACCUGAAAUUGUGAAAUAUAUACUAUUGUGAAAUCGAAUGAAUUAUUUUUCUUACAUAAAGAAUAUAAAAAGCUAUGAGUUAUGCAAACGAGAUAGUUUUUAAACAUAUUUCCUGAUGAGGAGUGUGCUAAAUCGGAUAGUUUGAUUACAUAUUAUGUCAUAAGCUUGCAAUUAAAAAUAUAAUCCUUCUAAAUGACGAGGGCAAAUUAAUAUGAUUGUACAAAGGUACUCGUCUGCGGGUGCUGCAAAGUAUUCUACAUCCAUUGUUCGCUGAAAUAUACCAAAAUAUUUCUCUGAAUUUCAAUUGGCUAUUAGCAUAAGAAAUGUAUUGAAUACUUGUUUCUAUAUGUCCUUUAUUUAUUAUCUCCUACUUUACCUAUGUAUUUUUCUCCGUUGAUAGGUGAAAACGUGGGUGAAAUCUCACAUUAGUUUACAUAUGCAUAUUAGUUCUAUUUAACUUUUGAUUUUAUUUUGUAUGUGUAGGAAAUUCUGGUGAUGCAAUUGAAAUGGUGCUCCAAAGUCAACAUGAUUUAUUGGAAGUUAGUGAUGGACAGUUUUGGACAAUGAUGAUAUUUAUGAUAUUAUUUAAAUAC